GAGCUAAUUGGGGAGGAAGAAGGCAUUUCCAGAGGUCCUGUUUCUGAACGCUUUUUGUGGGUCUAGCCCCACGUGGAGGGGCACAAGACCUUAUAGGACCAGGAUGGUGACGCAACAGAACGGCCCAGGCAAGCAGACGAAGCUCCGUGGAAUGAGGGUCGAAGCACAUCAUGGAGUCCUAUUUCCAUUUUGUAGAAGGUUUCAUCUGGAGUCCAUGGAAGGGGGUGUAGGAGUCCACAUCUGACUAGCUGCCAGGUCGCAAGGCUUCUUUCCACAGAACACAUUGUCACGGGCACCGUCCUGUACCAGAGAGUUGGGGCCACAUCCCAGGAGAAAGGUGUACCAGUGGCAAGCAGGACAACAUUCCCAGGCUGGACCCAGUGCUCUCUGAUCUGCAUGAUGAAAUCACAAGCCGUCAACCAUUGGCUGGUUACAGACUCAGUCCUGAAGACUCAUUUCUCAUGCUACCAGAGUUGUCCAUCAGCACAUCACUAGCUUCUCCAAUCAAAAUGAUUCCUGAAUGGAAGAAGAAAUCACCACAACAAGCACCGCUGGCCCAUGGACACUGUCUUAUUUCGGGUUUCUAUUGCUGUGAAGACACCAUGAUCAUGGCAACUCUUAUAAAGGAAAACAUUUCUUUGGGCUGUCUUACAGUGCAGAGAUUUAGUUCAUAAUCAUC